AUUGAACGCUGGCGGCAUGCCUUACACAUGCAAGUCGAACGGCAGCGCGGGGCAACCUGGCGGCGAGUGGCGAACGGGUGAGUAAAAUAUCGGAACAUACCCUAGAGUGGGGGAUAACGUAGCGAAAGUUACGCUAAUACCGCAUACGCACUAAGGUGGAAAGUGGGGGAUCUUCGGACCUCAUGCUCAUGGAGUGGCCGAUAUCUGAUUAGCUAGUUGGUGAGGUAAAGGCUCACCAAGGCGACGAUCAGUAGCUGGUUUGAGAGAACGACCAGCCACACUGGAACUGAGACACGGUCCAGACUCCUACGGGAGGCAGCAGUGGGGAAUUUUGGACAAUGGGGGGCAACCCUGAUCCAGCAAUGCCGCGUGAGCGAAGAAGGCCU
rnacentral:rRNA from 1 species